ensembl:lncRNA LINC02796 long intergenic non-protein coding RNA 2796
AAGGAAUUCUCUCUCUAGCAAAACUCUUCUUUAAAAAUGAAGGCAAGUGAUAUGGGAAACCACAGCAAAUUUUGAUCAGAAGAGUAAUAUCAACUAACUCCACUUGGACCGCAUGGAAACGAGGAAGGAGAAUACUACAGCAACCUGGAAGCCAGUGAAAAAUGAUGGCAACACUAUCUAAGAUGGUAAAAAAUUGACGAAGAAAAGCUCAUUUCGAACUGUUGAGGAGAGAAAUGUAUUUGCAGAGAGAGCAUGAAAAAUCAUGAACCACUCCAUGGGUUUUGCCUUGUGCAAGUGGAAGCAAGGGAAGAAGAUAAAGAGAUGUUUUUAUGGGGCUUCUCUACUUAACACAAUCCUGAGAUUUAACACAGGAUGGAAAAGAAGGCAUUAUAAAAUUUCAGUAAGAUGGGAUCUUGCCAUGUUGUUCAGGCUGGCCUUGAAUUACUGGACUCGAGUGAUCCUCCAACCUCGGCCUCCUGAGUACAUAUUCCCUGGUCUAUAGAUGAAGAAAUGAAGGUUCAAGAAUACUGGACAUCUGGACUAAUUAAAUGACAACUAAAUGGCAGAAAUGGUAUUUAAGCUCAGGCCUAGCAGAUGCAAAGUCAUGGGCACAUGUCAAGAAAGACGAGAUAUAUCAUUUUUUCCCACAUAGAUCCUGGAUUAUUACUAUCCUUCGAAUUUAUUUCUAUAAUCUCUAAGUCAGGUGGAACAGAGCUAUAAUUUAUUAGAGUGAAACUUUGGAGGUGCAUACAGUAGUCACAUUAUUAUGUUCAUCUCCUACAGGAACAACUUUUGAUUUCAUUUCAUUACAUUGAAAGAGCAAAAGAUGGGUAAAGAAGAAUACAAGUAGAUUUUGGGAUGUGUCUGCAAAUGCAAGUGUGGAAUACAUAGAAGAACACUAAAUAGGAAUCAACAGAAAGGAAGAAGCUAAAAGAGGAAGAAACACUUUCAAUAUAUUCCAUGAAGUCAAUAUUACCAUGACUACAAAACCAGACAACCAUUGCAAGAAAACCCCAGACAAAUAUCCUUUAUGAGCAUAGGUGCAAAUAUUCUAAACAAAAUGGUAUAUAAUUUAAUUUGCUAAUAUAUGAAUAGUAUAUAAUGAUCCAGUGUAAUACAAGGCUUAUUUAACAUUCCAAAAUCAAUUAAUUUAAUUUAUGAUAAAAUUCAAUCCAUUUC